ACCCUAACUGAGGGCAUUUAUUGGAUAUAUGAAAAGAUAAGUGCUCUCUGUGGGGUGA
rnacentral:pre_miRNA from 1 species